GUCACCUAAGCAGUUUUAAAUAGAGCUAGCCUCCAGCUUCAGAAGAUCACCGAAGCAGUUUUAAAUAGAUCUAGCGUCCAGCUUCAGAAGAUCACCUAAAGGAUUUUUAAAAAAAUAGUCUAGACUCCAGCUUCAGAAUAAACCAAAAUUUGACGGAAAUAGCGGACAACGUUAGUGACUUGUUUGCAUUUCUAAAUAAUCAAAGAACAUAAAGUUGAACUCUAAUACUCUUCUAGUCUUCUGUUGUGUUUUUUGGCUAUUUUUCUUAAAAUACAGAUGUUGUUAUUAUUUUCAAAUUUAAAGAGGUGAAAUAAAAUAAUUAAUUCCAAAUCUAAGUUGAAGGUUAGAAAAAU